CGGCAGCCGGGGCUGAGUGCGGUGGCGCAGAGCUGAGUGUUGUCCGCCGGAGCUGCGGAGAAAGCAGACCUUCCAAUACCUGUAAGAUGUUUUCCAUCCUUUCCCUUCACAAGAACAGGGUCUUACAGUGGCAUAUUUUCUUUAUAAUGGAGACCCUGACAGAAGUGAGUGGCUGCGGAUGGGUCUGACUGAAAGGCUCUUCAGUGGAUUUUCCCAUCAGCCUUCUCCUCAACCCGUCCGUGAGCCACUUGUCCCCCAGUUAUUUUGAGGCAAGAAUGGGUUUGAGGAAAGGAGAAAGACAGACGAGAGCUGGAAGGAAUAUAAAAAUGCAAAAUGAAACACACAAGCAAAGGAGCAGGAUAAAGCACACAAGCAAAGGAGCAGGAGACAGAAGACCAACCUACAGUCCUUCCAACCUUCCUCCUGGGAGCCUCAGGGGGACCAGGCACUACAGGCCACCACAAGGCAAACGAGAUAGUUACGUCAGAUAACAAAAACAGUCUCCAAAAGCAGAAGUGAAUAUCCAUGCUCUCCUUUCAUUAAAAAAGCUCUCCUAUGAAGUUAUUAACACCGCUUUAAUUUGUGCAGUUAAUUUUUCUUUCCAGUUCAUAGUCUGGUCCCAGGGGAGGAAAAGUGUCCUCAGUUCAACCCCUUGUAUGAGGCAGGCAGAUUUAGCAAGUUUUGAUCUGACAACGUACUAACGCAGAUACUUCAGAUUAAACUUGGUUAUGUGUUUUUCUGAAUUAAAAUAUGUUUCAGGAUGCUUAUUUUGCUACAAUUCUGAUGUUCUCCUGUACUGAUUGAUCUAAUAGAGCAAAUGGCAUUGUUUUCAAUGUGCCUUUUAUUUUAUCUGUAAACUUUAUCUGUAAGUUAUGUAUGAUGUAUAAAUAUUUUUACAACAGACAUAAGUUAACUAAUAAAAAAUGCCUAAUUUCAUUGCUAUUUUUUAAAAUAUCCACUACAAUAAGAUAUAACUACAGUUGAAUCCAGGAUGUAUCUCCUAGAUAUAGAGAUAAAAUUGCUGAGCAACUCAUAUUUGUGGAUAAUGUGCAAAGAAAAGCUCUCAUAAGAUUUAUUUGAAAAUAAUAAUUUCUGAUGUAAAGUCAGAUUCUUGCGAUGUGUACCAUCCCUUGUUAGUGUCAUCAUGUAUCAUUCCAGCAUAAAAGAAGGUAGGGUUAAAUAUUUUUAGUAUUAAAUAGCUCAGUGAGUACUAACUAUCUCAGUAUCUCCGCCAUAACUAGCUCGUGGAUGUAUAAGUGAAAGACAGACCAAGGAUCUAAAACUCCUUUAAAUCUCUGGUUUCCAGGAUGGCAAGUUUUACCUGACUCACUGCAAAUACUCUCUGCUGGAAUUUUACCCUGAAAUCCUGAGAAUAGGAAAAUGUUUUAAAAGCCCACUAGGACACAGUGUGGCGUAAAGAUGCCAGAGCUAGCUUUAAAUGAAUUAUUUUGGGUACUGGCAACAGUCAAGCUGUGAUAGCAGAGAGCUAACUUUGUGUAAGAAGUUUAUUUUGCUGCAUGGGCAAGUUUAGCACCCUGUCCUGCACUACAUGCAGCUAUUAUAAGAUGGCUGCAACGUAACAUUUGCAUAAUACCUCUCAUGCAAAUAUAUCUAACACAGCGGAGGCACUUGGCAAAAAGGAGCUAGCUAGGUUGGACUUGCACUGCACUGUAACAUACACAUAUUAUUCUAAUGGUUUUUAAUUCUAACUAUUAUCUACUGAUAACAGUUCACCCCCUCUGAGCUUUCCCAAGUGAAAUGUGGCCAGUUUUAAGAUGCAUAGUCUCUCCAUACAUUAAAUAUUCAUUGAACAUGAAAUAGAGGAGAUAUUUCUGAAGGAAGGCUACUUCACUAUUUAUAAAUGCACAAAUCAAAAGUCAGUCUCCAAACAUAUAUAAUUAUUGCAAGACUCUCAAAUGAAACAAACUGCUUCCAGACGGCAGCUGCUAAUAGGACACAGCAAAAAUGUGAGUAUCUCUCUUUGCUGUGAAUGUCAGUCACAAGGAAUAAGAUCCCAGGCCCUCAGACCCAUUUUGGUUUGUAACUGUGUGUCAGUGAAGUGGCUCAUGAAUCAAAACACAUUAAGUUUCUUGAUGACUGGACAAGGAACGACUGUCCAAAGAGGUAUUAAGCCAAAUAAUGAAG
ensembl:lncRNA